CUCGGUGAACACAAAAACCACUCCUGGGGGAAACAUGGCUUUUCAUCACAUCAAUCUCAGUGAGAGAGCUUCCUCUAACAUCCACCAGAAUCAGAGGCCCUCUUGUGUCUCUCCUUCGUAUCAGAAGCUUUCUGCCCUAAAUAUAGGCCAGGACCCACACUGCUCUGAAGGAUGCUCAUCAUAAAACUCUUCAUGUUUUACAAGCUGGCACAGACCUGCAACUUCUCGUCCAUGUCGUCGUCGCUCUCAUCCAGGUCUUCAUGGAGCAGUCGCCAUUCAUAUUCCACGUGAACGUGAGAAUUAAA